AACACAACAAUCUUAUUAUUCAGAUCAUUUUAAUUUUUAUUGUUAACACAGUUGAUAAAAGUCGGCUAACAAAUGUAUGUUGUGUCAAAAAGGAGGCCCACUGUCUUUGAUUCUGAAAACCCCUGACAUAAGGACCCUUUUGAAUAUUAUUCCCUACCCAAGACGUACAAAAUCCUUAAAUUAAAUAAGCCUAAAGAUAGAUCUAAAUAAAAUAUAAUCUGUUAAAACACUAAGACAUUACAGUCUGAACAUCAUGACUUUCUAUUAUUCAACUAAUGCAGAAUUUAAGUUAAAAUACAGACAUGACUUAGGUGAACAAUGGGUCAGAACAGACUCCAUCAUUUGGCUGUUCUGUCAAUAGAAAAAGGAGUUCUCAGCUCCAUAAAUACUAGUAUGGUAAUUGACCAUCAAGUCUCAGAGAUACACUCUGAUGACUCCACCCUCAAAGAAAUAGGAUCAAAAAGUCACCAAGAUAAAAACUGUUAUAGAAUAUGGCAUGCAGUUGCUUCAAACAAUGGUAUAAAGCUAUUCAAAACACCAUUUAAUGUAAAUUAUGAUAAUCGUAAUUAAGAAUCACAAUUACAAUUUCAAGGGAAUAAUCGACAAUUAUGAUUUUUGUCAUAAUCAUGCAGCCCUAGUUGUAGAUCUUGAGUUUCAUCUAAUUGUCAUUUGCUGGGAUUCCGUUAUUAUACUAGCUAUGAGGAGAGAUUCACUGGCAUUCAGGUAAGGGAUUAUUCAUUGUGGCAUUGUAAAAUUUUGUUAAUUGCAGUGACUAAUUGUGUUUGUGUGUGAAGUUUGUUGAGCCAAACAUUCAGCUGCUGCUCAAUGAACAACACCAAGACCCUUUACCUGUGUCCCAGCUGAAGGUAUUCUACAGUGCAGCAGCUGAGGGAUUCCCUUAUCAAACCACCAUAGAGGACUGUUUCUCUGGCAUACGGCUGAAUCUGGGAGGGUUACUGAAUUCAUCUCCUGUAACCGAGUGGAGACGUCUUUCAUCGUGCCACAUUAUUACGUGCAAACCAUUACAACGGUAACCUGUACUUACCUGUAUGUGGCUGCAGAUGGACAAUGUACACCUCCACUUGGGAGUGGGAUCAGGACGACUCUGAGGAGAGUGAUCAGUGCCUUAACCCAGAGGAGAUGGAGGUGUCCUUUAUUUGCUGACUGACAUCGGCCUGAAGGUGCCUGCUGUCCGCGAGGCGUUCGCUGUGAGUUAAACCUUUAUUCAGCUGCUGUUAUUGCACAGGAUGCAGUUGGUGUGCAGUUGGCCUACGAGGCCCUGAUUCGAUUCCUGAGGACGCCUUCCAAUCAGGAAUCGAUUAAAGCAGAGCUCUCUGGGUCCACCACUACAACUUCCUGGAUGUUUUUUAUGAACUGAUUCUCUUCAGCUGCUUUAAGAAUGGCUGAACACCUCAUCCAGUAAGUGUCUUAUCAGGAGAUUUUGCUUGAAUUAAGAACAUUGAAUUAAGAAUUUCAGAACAUGGUCUAUUUUAUCUCAUUUUGUUUUCCCAUAUUUGUAACCCUGAUUAGACAUUAGGGAUGCAACAAUACAGUUAACCCACGGUUCAAUACGUACCGCGGUUUUUAACCACGGUUUUCUUUUCGGUUCGGUUCGGAUGG